rnacentral:rRNA from 1 species
CCUACGGGAGGCAGCAGUGGGGAAUAUUGGGCAAUGGGAGGAAACUCUGACCCAGCGACGCCGCGUGCGGGAUGAAGGCCUUCGGGUUGUAAACCGCUUUCAGUAGGGAAGAAGCGAAAGUGACGGUACCUACAAAAGAAGCACCGGCUAACUAUGUGCCAGCAGCCGCGGUAAUACAUAGGGUGCAAGCGUUGUCCGGAAUUAUUGGGCGUAAAGAGCUCGUAGGUCGUUUGUUACGUCGGAUGUGAAAACCUGAGGCUCGAACCUCAGGCCUGCAUUCGAUACGGGCAAACUAGAGUUUGGUAGGGGUAGACUGGAAUUCCUGGUGUAGCGGUGGAAUGCGCAGAUAUCAGGAGGAACACCAAUGGCGAAGGCAGGUCUCUGGGCCAAUACUGACACUGAGGAGCGAAAGUCUGGGGAGCGAACAGGAUUACGAUACCCUGGUAGUCCAGACCGUAAACGGUGGGCACUAGUUGUAGGGAACCUUCCACGGUUUCUGUCGACGCAGCUAACGCAUUAAGUGCCCCGCCUGGGGGAGGUACGUAGUCGCGAAGAAGUUAAACGUAACAAAUAGAAGUAAGUACGGCGUUGAGACGUUGCGAACGGACGACGACGAGGGAGGAGG